rnacentral:piRNA from 1 species
UGAGAUGAGACAAUGGCUGAAAUAUC